UCCAUGAUGGUCCAGUGGCUAAGACUCUGUGUUCCCAAUGCAGUGGGCUCAGGUUCGAUUCCUAGUCAGGGUA
rfam:Ovis aries breed Texel chromosome 12, whole genome shotgun sequence.